AUUGAACGCUGGCGGCAGGCCUAACACAUGCAAGUCGAGCGGGGUUUUCGGACCUAGCGGCGGACGGGUGAGCAAUGCGUAGGAAGCUACCCGAUAGAGGGGGAUACCAGUUGGAAACGACUGUUAAUACCGCAUAAUGUCUACGGACCAAAGUGUGGGACCUUCGGGCCACAUGCUAUCGGAUGCGCCUACGUGGGAUUAGCUAGUUGGUGGGGUAAUGGCUCACCAAGGCGACGAUCCCUAGCUGGUUUGAGAGGAUGAUCAGCUACACUGGAACUGAGACACGGUCCAGACUCCUACGGGAGGCAGCAGUGGGGAAUAUUGGACAAUGGGCGCAAGCCUGAUCCAGCCAUGCCGCGUGUGUGAAGAAGGCCUUCGGGUUGUAAAGCACUUUCAGUAGGGAGGAAGAGUUGAGUGUUAAUAGUACUCAGCUUUGACGUUACCUACAGAAGAAGCACCGGCUAACUCUGUGCCAGCAGCCGCCGUAACAC
rnacentral:rRNA from 1 species